rnacentral:rRNA from 1 species
AUGGCGGACCAUGCUCCGACCAUGAUGCUGGCGACCAUCGACUCCGUGCAGGAGCGCACGGAGACUCAGGUCAGCCACACCCCGACAACAAAGUGUUCGGGGUCCACCGUGUUGUCGGGAGAUGGCUCCCUGACAACGGCAUGUGCGUGCGGCUACGUCUUCCUCAACGAGGAGAGAGCCGUGACCACACCCACGCUUGCAGGCGGCAAGCAAAGUGAGGGUUGGUUCCUCGACACCGGCGCCACGAACCACAUGACUGGUUCGAUCGAUGCGUUCGCGGAGCUGGACCGCUCAAUCACCGAGAAGGUGCGGUUCGCGGACGGAUCCGUGGUGGAGAUCCACGGGCGCGGGACCGUCGUAUUCGCCGACAAAGGGGGUGAUCACAGAGCGUUCACGGACGUCUACUUCAUCCCGGCGCUCACGAGCAGCGUUGUGAGUGUUGGACAACUCGACGAGGGCUGGUUCGACAUCGGCAUCCGGCGCGGUGUUCUCACCGUGCACGACCAGCAGAAGAGGCUGCUCAUCGAGGUUACCCGCUCGCCGAACCGCCUCUACAAAUUCUUCUUUCAACCCGUGCAUCCUGUGUGCCUUGCCGUGGGCCAUGUAUCCGACGCGUGGCGUUGGCAUGCCAGGCUAGGACACCAGCACUUCGAUGGGUUGCGAAAGAUGGCGCGAGGCAACCUCGUUCGUGGGCUACCUCACAUCGAGCACGCCGACAAGCUGUGUGAUGCAUGUCUUGCGGGGAAGCAGCGGCGUCUGCCGUUUCCCGAGAAGGCACGCUAUCGGGCGCAGAAACCCCUGGAGCUGGUUCACGGGGACCUCUGCGGCCCAAUCACCCCGGCAACGCCAGGAGGGCGUCGCUACAUCCUGCUGCUCGUCGACGACUACAGCAGGUUCAUGUGGGUGCUGCUCCUCGCCUCCAAGGAUGAGGCGGAGCGAGCCAUCGUCAAGCAGCAAGCGGCAGCAGAGGUCGAGUGUGGCCACAAGCUGCGCGUGCUGCGCACGGACCGUGGCGGUGAGUUCACGUCGACCACGUUCUACAAGCACUGCGACGAGAAAGGGGUGCAACGUCACCUCACAGCCCCUUACUCACCGCAGCAAAAUGGCGUCGUCGAGCGGAGGAACCAGACAGUGCUUGGGAUGGCACGCUGCAUGCUCAAGGCAAAGCAGGUGCCGAGCACGUAUUGGGGGGAGGCCGUGCUCACGGCCGUCUUCAUCCUCAACCGCUCCUUCACAAGGAGCGUCGACGAAAAGACGCCUUACGAGGCGUGGUAUGGGAGGAAGCCCGAUGCACGCUUCCUUCGUACCUUUGGCUGCGUCGGGCACGUCAAGACGACGCGCCCACAGCUAAAGAAGCUCGACGACAGGAGCACCCCAAUGGUGUUCAUGGGCUACGAGACGGGCUCUAAGGCGUACAAGAUGUACGACCCCGUCUCAAAGCGCGUACAUGUCUCUCGCGACAUCAUCUUCGACGAAGACGCGCGAUGGACAUGGGAGGCGUCGGGGGAGGCCCCGGCAAGCAGCUCCUUCACCGUGGAGUACCUGAUGUACUCUACAACCCCGAGAAGCAAGACCUCGGGAAUUGCCACGCCGGGAAGCCCGGGAGGUGUGGAUCCGGGAACCGCAACCCCGAGAACACCGUCCCCGGGUAUGGUGUCCCCAGACACCCCGACAUCAAGCAAGGUGGUUCCCGGGAGGCUGUUCGCGACCCCGCCAACAGCAAGGUCGGAGUUGUUCGACGCCGACGACAGUGUUGGCGCCCCCCACAGGUUUCGGCGCAUGGGGGAUCUCCUCGACGAGGCUGUGGCAACACCGCAACAGCCCGAGGAAGAGGAUGUUGAUGAUGACGACGUCUUGCAUCUGAUGGCCGGCGAGGAGCCGACCACAUUCGCGGAGGCCGAGCAAGAGGAUUGCUGGCGCCACGCGAUGUUGGUCGAGCUGGCGUCGAUCAACGACAACGCCACUUGGACACUCACCACACUGCCUGCUGGGCACCGAGCCAUCGGGCUCAAGUGGGUGUUCAAGGUGAAGAAGGAUGAGCAUGGUGCCAUUGUCAAGCACAAGGCGCGCCUCGUCGCAAAGGGCUACGUGCAGCGUGAGGGAGUGGACUUCGAGGAAGUCUUCGCUCCGGUGGCAAGGCUGGAGUCGGUGCGGCUCAUCCUUGCCCUGGCCGCUCACCGCGGGUGGGAGGUACACCACAUGGACGUCAAGUCGGCGUUUCUCAACGGCGACCUUAACGAGGAGGUGUACGUCUCCCAACCACCCGGGUUCGUUGCCAAGGGCCACGAGCAGGGCGUGUAUCGACUACACAAGGCCCUGUAUGGUCUCCGGCAAGCCCCAAGGGCAUGGAACGCCAAGCUCGAUGCAAGCCUCGCAUCCCUUGGGUUCUCACGCAGCGCUUCUGAGCAUGGUGUGUACUCGCGUGGCACCGCGAACACGCUGCUCAUCGUCGGCAUCUACGUCGACGACUUGGUCAUUACCGGGGCAGAGCCUAAAGAGGUUCAACGCUUCAAGGGAGAGAUGCAUCGUCUCUUCAGCAUGAGCGACCUUGGGCUGCUCCGUUACUACCUCGGGCUGGAGGUGAACCAGGAGGGUGGUCGCAUCACGAUCACGCAGACGGCCUACGCCACCAAGAUGCUCGAGCGAGCAGGCAUGAAAGACUGUCAUGCCGUGCACGCUCCAAUGGAGGCACGGCUGAAGCUCAGCAAGGAGAGCUCCGAGAAGGCGGUGGAUGCUACACUCUACCGUAGCAUCAUCGGGAGUCUCAGGUACCUCGUGCACACCCGACCGGACAUCACGUUCGUUGUCGGGUACCUGAGUAGGUUCAUGGAAGCCCCGGCAAGCGAUCACCUCGCUGCUGUCAAGCACCUGCUCCGGUACAUCGCGGGUACGCUCACGCAUGGAUGCGUGUAUCAUCGUGGCGACGGCGAAAGCUUGGUCGGAUACAGCGACUCUGACCACGCUGGUGACGUGGACUCCCGGAAGAGCACCUCGGGCAUACUAUUCCUUCUCGGGAAUAGUCCCGUCAGCUGGCAAUCGGUGAGGCAGAAGGUUGUCGUCGUAUCUUCGUGCGAGGCGGAGUACAUCGCGGCAGCUACAGCAGCCUGUCAAGGCAUUUGGCUUGCUUGCCUUAUCGGCGAGAUGCUGAAUCAGGACACCGCCCCUGCCCUCAUCUUCGUCGACAACAAGUCGGCGAUUUCCCUCUGUAAGAAUCCAGUGCUUCACGACCGCAGCAAACACAUCGAUCUCCGCUAUCACUUCAUACGUGACUGCGUCGAGAAAGGCUCGGUGAUCGUGGAGUUCAUCAGGACUGGUGAACAGAAGGCGGACAUCCUGACCAAGUCACUUGGUCGUGUCCGGUUCCAGGAGCUGCGCGACAAGGUCGGGAUCAUCGACACCAAGCUCCUUCUACAAGGUUGA